UGAAUCGGGAUUUUUAAAUGAAGUGGAUUUGAAUACUCUUGACUGUUUUAUAAAAUCGAGUUACGUCUGUGAUUGAAGGAUUAAAAGGGUGUCUAUAGGAUUGAGUAUGUGGAGUGAAUGAAAUUUAUUGGGUUAAUCUAACAGGACAGUCAGUGGAUACAAGAUCGUAAGUACAAAAGGAUAUUGAAGAUUAACAGUUUGGGUUGUUCGGGAUUCUCUGUAACG
rnacentral:lncRNA from 1 species